AUUGAACGCUGGCGGCAGGCCUAACACAUGCAAGUCGAGCGAGCGGCGGACGGGUGAGUAAUGUAUGGGGACUGCCCGAUAGAGGGGGAUAACUACUGGAAACGGUAGCUAAUACCGCAUACUAUCGGAUAACCCAUAUGGGAUUAGCUAGUAGGUGGGGUAAUGGCUCACCUAGGCGACGAUCCCUAGCUGGUCUGAGAGGAUGAUCAGCCACACUGGGACUGAGACACGGCCCAGACUCCUACGGAGGCAGCAGUGGGGAAUAUGGAAAAAUGGGCGCAAGCCUGUGGCAUCCAUGCCGCGUGUAGGAAUAAGGCCAUAGGGUUGUAAAGUACUUUCAGUGGGGAGGCGUUACCGAAAGAAGAAGCACCGGCUAACUCCGGGCCAGCCGCCUCGGUAAUAC
rnacentral:rRNA from 1 species